GACGAACGCUGGCGGCGUGCUUAACACAUGCAAGUCGAACGGAAAGGCCCUGCUUUUGUGGGGUGCUCGAGUGGCGAACGGGUGAGUAACACGUGAGUAACCUGCCCUUGACUUUGGGAUAACUUCAGGAAACUGGGGCUAAUACCGGAUAGGAGCUCCUGCUGCAUGGUGGGGGUUGGAACGUUUCGGCGGUUGGGGAUGGACUCGCGGGUUAUCAGCUUGUUGGUGGGGUAGGGGCUGACCCAGGCUUUGACGGGUAGCCGGCCUGAGAGGGUGGCCGGGCACAUUGGGACUGCGGUACGGACCAGACUCCUACGGGAGGCAGCAGUGGGGAGUAUUGCACAAUGGGCGGAAGCCUGAGGCAGCAACGCCGCGUGCGGGAUGACGGCCUUCGGGGUGUAAACCGCUGUCGCCUGUGACGAAGCGUGAGUGACGGUAAUGGGUAAAGAAGCACCGGCUAACUACGUG
rnacentral:rRNA from 1 species